AUGCAUCUAUUUUUGACAGACCUGGAACAGUUAAUAUCUGCUGUUCAGGUUUCUACCACAGAUGCAAGAAAAAAGUGUUCUCGUGCUUUCUGUCUGAUUGUGGCAGCCAAGAUUGAAUGGGGGAAGAUAGGG
ensembl:snoRNA